UACGUAGGGUGCAAGCGUUAAUCGGAAUUACUGGGCGUAAAGCGUGCGCAGGCGGUCUUGCAAGACAGAUGUGAAAUCCCCGGGCUCAACCUGGGAACUGCAUUUGUGACUGCACGGCUGGAGUGCGGCAGAGGGGGAUGGAAUUCCGCGUGUAGCAGUGAAAUGCGUAGAUAUGCGGAGGAACACCGAUGGCGAAGGCAAUCCCCUGGGCCUGCACUGGCGCUCAUGCACGAAAGCGUGGGGAGCAAACAGG
rnacentral:rRNA from 1 species